ACUCUAAUAGUUUAUAAAAACAUUGGUCUUGUAAACCAAAAGAUGAAGGCUACCACUUCUUAGAGUU
rnacentral:tRNA from 1 species